rnacentral:lncRNA from 1 species
UUUUUUUUUUUUUUUUUUUUGGGUCAACGAGAGUGAGUGCACAAUAUAAAAAUGUAUCAAACAAAUAAAUAAGUCAAUAGUCCAAAAUUAAAUAUCGCAUAAAGAUAGUUUUAGCCAUUAUCACAAUAAAAAUAAAACUAAUUUUCAAAUGAAUAUAACAAUGACUUUUGUUUACCGAUUUGUUAAAAUAUUUUCUGUAAUUAACAAAAUUUUCCUUUAAAUUACGACUGUUUUUUUUAAUAUUUAUACGUUAAAAGAAAUUUAAAAAUGUUUUCGUAAAUAAUUUUAAAACUGUCUUUGGAGAGUACCUGAGCUACUGUUUUUCCCUUUGCCUCAGCAAUUUCUUUGAGAACAUCAGACUCCAUGAUUUUGUGAGUUCCCCAAAACGCUCCUCUCGAUCCCAACACCGAAUAAGCUGUCACAACAAUGCCUUUCGACUUACAUAACUCCCUCAGUUUUCUCUGUUGCCAUACUGGACUCAUCUCCACCUUUUUCACAUUAUCCACAAACAAAUGUUUCAAAUUAUUUCACCAAUCCAAUAUUUUCUUAUAAAAAAAAGGUUGAACUUAUUUGAUAAAUUAAAUAAGAGAGAAUUUUAAAUAUACUUGAUUGACACUAGGUGGGAUUUUUGCUAUUGAAAGGAUGUGUUGGAGUUUCUUGCAUGAGAAGUUGCUUACUCCUAUACACUUUGCAACUCCGAGUCUCUGACACUCUUCCAUCUCAGACCAAACUGUUUCAUAAUCCAUUGGCAAAAAGUCAUCUUCUUCUAUAGGGAACUUGUAUUUACCAGGUUUCGAGCUAACCGGCCAGUGGAUUAGGUAGAGAUCGAGAUAGUCCAAUUUAAGAGUUCUACAAAACAUGAUAUGAAAAUGAUGAUUAAGAUCAUGCAACCCCGAAAUACGCUUUUUGUACUUGGCUUGCAGUCCAUAGAAGGCUAUCAACAGGAGAUCGCAUGGUUAAAUGGUCGGGAGACGUUACAACGGACUGCAUUCUCUGUCAAGGUAACCUCGAAACCCGGGAACACCUUUUCUUUGAUUGUGGAUACACUUCAGCAGUUUGGGCAGCGCUUGUAAAGGGAAUUCUCAAAUCGAGAUAUACUUCCAACUGGACCUCGAUAAUGGACCACCUCGCUCAUGCUCAGCCACACCGCGUGGACCACUUCCUCGUUCGCUAUGCCUUCCAAGCGACUCUAUACACUGUGUGGAGGGAAAGAAAUGGUAGACGACACGGUGAGACCCUCAACACGGCCUCUCAACUAGUUGGAUGGAUAGACAAGCAAAUCCGAAAUCAGCUGUCCUCAAUCAAGCUCAAGGGCGAUCGACGAUAUGAUGACGCUCUUCAAUUGUGGUUCAGUACCAGAGUUUAAUCUUAUAGUUUUGUCUCCUUUUUCUCAAACUCUAUUUUCAGUUUAAACUCUUUCAACUCACGUUGCAUUUGAUGUAAAAAAGUUAGGUUUCUUUUGAAUAUAAUUUAACAUUAUUUCAAAAAAAAAAAAAUGAUGAUUAAGAUUAAGCAUUGUUCUAAGAUACGGCCUAAGCGUUCAUAUAUACGAUGUAAAGAUGUUAUACAUUAAUGACUAAUGUCCCAAAAUCUUUAUGAAAAAAAAAUUAAAAAAAUUAAAUGAUAUUUUUUCGUAUAUACUUAAGUUUUUUAUUGUGUUUUUUUAACACCAUUGUGUUAUUAGUUAUAAUAAUGUUUUCGUUCUUAAAAUAUUAUUUCGCCAAUUUUGAUACCAACGAGUGCGUAUAUAUAUCAACGAAUCCAAACUCGAAUAUCAUGAAAUUUUGGAGUAUCCAUGCACACCCCUAAGUAUAUAUUUGAGUUUAACCAUCUAGAGUUCAAAAGUCUAUUUAAAUCUUUCAUGUAACCACAAAUCUCAUUUGCUAUCCUUUUCUAUAUAAUAAGGAACUCAAAUCUUACUCCAAACUCCGUUGGAUCGCCGGUACAACAAGGCCACCAUGAGCAUCGGCACACCAUAGCUUAGAAGUGACGAAGAGUUCUGAUCGAGAUUGGAUUAACCCGAGAGAAACCGCCUCCGCCAAAGCUUCACCAAGCGGUUCCUCCGUCUGGUACCUAGGAGAGGUGUCGAAGUGACGAUAACCGAGCUUGAUGGCUUCCAACACCGUCCGUUUCAACACUAUUGGUUCGGGUGGAGGAGACGCAGCAGUUCCAAGAGCUAGAACCGGCAUCAAGUGAUGAACGGAUCCGAUAGGGAACGUAAGAGCUGACAUUGGUGAAAAGAAGCGCCAAAAAGUCAAAGAAAGUUUGCUACGAGAAAAUCGUUUCUCAUUGGCUCAAUUUAUACUCACUACUUCGUGGCCACUAGCCACCAUGGCCAUCAAAAACAAGUAAAGAAAAAAAAACAUGUCACGAGUGGCCAUCAAAAAAACAAAACAAAAAUAAAAGGAGGAUGCCACGUGUAACCCAUAACCUGCUACAAGAGGUGAACCGCACCUCCAAUCAUUUGUCUAAUUUCGGUGUCGUGUCCAAGUUCCCCGGUGGCUUUGAAUUUAUCCAUCGGUAUUGGACUAGGUUUUGGAUGGAUUCAACCCUUUGUCAUUUUCAUUGAGUUACUUUCUAAUAGUGUGUACUUGUUAAAAAUCUCAAUUAUUAGUGUUUUAUGGCUUUGUUCGGAACUUCGUUGAUAUGGACAAUAGAGCAACAUGUUCCUUGGAACACAAGAUAGUAGAAAGCGAGGUGUUGAAAUUUCUCCCCUCUCCCGCUGUUAAAUAUUUUUGGUGGUUUGUGUAUUGUGAUUGUAAUUUAAAAAUGAUUAAUAAGGAGCAAAUGCCCUUAGCUUUCUCCCAUUUCAAAUUUAGGGUUUAGACCCAUAACCUAAAAUGUAUUAUUAGAAUCCUGGUCGUGAAUCCAAUCUUAUUAGCCAAGUUCUACUCCACUUCCGUACUACGCUGUGUCUAAAUGACAAAUCGUUUAUGUUGGAGAUAGUCCUUAUUCAUUAUUCAUUAUUUCAUUAUUAGAGAGAAUGACAAGAAAAUCAUUGUGACGAAUGAUAAUUGUGCCGUUUUCAAUAGGCUAUUUUCACACAAAGUGAUCAGAUCUCCCCGUCCCACAUCUCGGCGACAGAUUUGAUGGGACCUUUCUUAGAGGUAUAAACCUCUCCGUGGACGUUUCUGAACUGAGGAAUCUCAGUUGAAAUUCUCUGUGUCUCAUCCUCUGUCAAAGACCAAUCAAAUAUCUUUAGAUUCUCUUCUAAUCUCUCUUUGGUAAAGCUCUUCACUACCAUGCUCACUCCUUGUUCAUAAGCCCAUCUCAUACUCACCUGUAAUUACAACUCCAAAUAUGAGCUUUGAACUCCAUGGAUAUAGCUGAUGAAUACAUCUCAAAUUUUUCUGUUGAGAUUCAUGUUACCAAGAUAGUGACUGACUAUUGAUGGUGAUAAAUUGAUAAUAACUGAUAAACGUCCCCACUUUUUUUUUUUGUUGUUGUAAAAGUUCAUAUAAAUGUCACCAAUUGUUUUUUGUAUUUUUCUUGUUUGAUAGUAUCGUUUAAGAAAACUUUUGAAAGUACCUGGGCCACUGUUUUUUCCUUUGCUUCUGCUAUUUCUUUGAGAACAUCAGAUUCCAUAAUUUUGGGAGUUCCCCAAAAAGCUCCUCUAGAUCCCAACACCGAGUACGCUGUGACAACAAUGUCGUUCGAUCUACAAAGCUCCCUUAGCUUUCUUUGUUGCCAUAUUGGACUCAUCUCAACCUUGUUUUCAUCCAUAAAAAAAAAAGAAGGGUGAAUUGGAAUUGUUUGCUGAAAAAGAAAUCAAAGAGUAAAAAAGUAGUGUUUACUUGAUUGACGCUAGGCGGGAUUGUCGCGAUAGAGAGUAUGUGUUGAAGCUUCUUACAUGAAAAAUUGCUUACUCCUAUGCAUUUUGCGAGCCCAAGUCUCUGACACUCCUCCAUUUCAGACCACACUACUUCGAAAUCCAUUGGCAUAAAAUCAUCUUCAUCAAUAGGAAACUUGUAUUUACCAGGUUUCGAGCUAACCGGCCAAUGAAUUAUAUAAAGAUCAAGAUAGUCCAGUUUAAGGUUUCUGCAAAACCAUAUUUGUUACACAGGUGGUUUACAUUAAGUUAUGUCACUCCCAAAAUAAUAUUCAAUCAUGAAACAUAAUUGACACGGUGACUGAUAGAGAACCUGAUCCAUAGAGAUAUGUGAAAUAGUUUUCUGUAUUUCUCAAUCGGAAAAGUGUUUACAAGUAUGUUUGUAUACAUCUACACUAAACCAACUAAACCAUAUACAAUCACAAUUUAACUUAACCGGAAUCACUAAACCGGACUAUCAUAUAUACAGUUCGAAUAGUGACACCUACUCUCAGUGAUUGAAACCGUGCAUUCUAAUUUCAUGUGAAAAUCAUUAAGGAAUCUAAAUCUUACUUCAAACUCCGUUUGAUCGCCGGUACGACGAGACCACCAUGAGCAUCAGCACACCAAAGUUUGGUAGUGACAAAGAAUUCAGAUCGAGAUCGAACUAAGCCGAGUGAAACCGCCUCCGCUAAAGCUUCGCCGAUCGGCUCCUCCGUUUGGUACCUUGGAGAGGUGUCGAAAUGGCGAUAACCAAGCUUAAUAGCCUCAAUCACCGUCUCUUUCAGCAUCGUUGGUUCCGGUAGCGGAGAAGCGGCGGUUCCAAAACCAAGAACCGGCAUCGAGUGAUGACCGGAUGGUCCGGAUCUGAUGGCGAGCGUAGGGACUGUGGUUAAAGACAUUGGUUAAAGAGAAGUCAACGAAAGUGUGCUCUCAGAAAAUGGUUUCUCUCGGUGGCCCAAAGCUUUACUCAGUAGCCACUGACUAAUGCUAGUGCCUGAUAAUAUUAUAUUAAUAUACUCUCUUUGAUUAGAAAAGUACGUAAGUCUUCAUAUUAUAAGUUUAUAACGCUAUAUAAUUUGACUAUAAAUUGUUAAUAGAAAGUAGUCAUGAUAUUAUAUACGAAAAAUAUUUGAAUUAGUAUUCUUUAAUAUUGUUUAUUUGGAAAACUUUUAAAGAAUAAUAUGUUAUGUAAUUUGUGCUAAAAUUUCAAAAUUUUAAUAUGUAAAUCAAUAAUGAAUUAAUAUAAGUUGUUUUCAGCUUUUUCUCAAAAGCAUGUCACGUAUGAGCAUUAACACCCGUGUGGAAAAAUGGAGCCAAGUGAGCUAAGCAUUUUAGCUUCAUAAAACAAACACACCGACGUCGUUAACUCUUCAUCUUCAUUUUUUUCUGUAACUUCUCCCAUAUUUUUUCUUCCCAAAAAUAUACUAUAAAAAUGAGAACACUUCUUCUAACGAUUUUGAUCUUCUUCUUCACAGUGAAUCCAAUCUCAGCAAAAUUCUACACUAACGUCUCUUCAAUCCCACCGUUACAAUUCCUAAACGCAACGCAAAACGCAUGGGAAACAUUCUCCAAACUCGCCGGUUGUCACAUCGGAGAAAAUAUCAACGGCCUCUCAAAACUCAAACAAUACUUUCGCCGUUUCGGUUAUAUCACCACCACCGGUAAUUGCACUGACGAUUUCGAUGACGUGCUUCAAUCAGCGAUCAACACUUACCAGAAAAAUUUCAAUCUCAAAGUCACCGGAAAACUCGAUUCCUCGACUCUCCGGCAAAUCGUUAAACCGAGAUGCGGGAAUCCGGAUUUGAUCGACGGGGUUUCGGAGAUGAACGGUGGUAAGAUACUCCGUACGACUGAGAAAUACUCGUUUUUCCCCGGGAAGCCACGGUGGCCGAAACGGAAACGAGAUCUGACUUAUGCGUUUGCGCCGCAGAAUAAUUUAACAGACGAGGUUAAACGCGUGUUCUCACGCGCCUUCACGCGUUGGGCGGAGGUGACUCCGUUGAAUUUCACGCGCUCUGAGUCUAUCCUCCGUGCGGAUAUAGUGAUCGGAUUUUUCUCCGGUGAACAUGGUGAUGGAGAGCCGUUUGAUGGAGCUAUGGGAACAUUAGCGCAUGCUUCUUCGCCUCCUACGGGGAUGUUACAUUUAGACGGUGAUGAGGAUUGGUUGAUCUCUAACGGUGAAAUUAGUCGUCGGAUAUUACCGGUGACGACGGUGGUGGAUCUUGAAUCGGUGGCUGUUCAUGAGAUUGGUCAUCUUUUAGGGCUAGGUCAUUCGUCGGUGGAAGAUGCGAUUAUGUUUCCGGCGAUUUCUGGUGGAGAUCGGAAAGUGGAGUUAGCUAAGGAUGAUAUCGAAGGGAUUCAGCAUUUGUACGGUGGUAAUCCGAAUGGAGACGGUGGUGGUUCGAAACCUAGCCGUGAGAGUCAAUCUACCGGUGGUGAUAGCGUUCGUCGGUGGAGAGGGUGGAUGAUUAGCUUAUCAUCGAUUGCCACGUGUAUAUUCUUGAUUUCUGUUUAGUGUAGGUUUUAUUUAUACUUUUAUUCCAUCUUAUUUUGGGGUCAAUUAAUCGAUUUGUUUUUGUUUUUCUUCUAAAAGUAACGAUUCUAUGUUAUCGAUGGAAAAGUAACGAUUUGGGGUCAUGGUCUCAUGGAAAUGAGAGAAAUUGUAAAAUUCUUCAUAUAUUGGAUUUUGGUGUUUAUUAAUGCAUAUUAAAUUUAAUGUCAGAAAAAACUUCGUUAGAACAAAAUGUUGUCGUAAAAUAUGAUUUUCUUUUUCUUUGGUCGGUGAAAUAUGUAAAUCUGUUUCUGCUAGACUAUUGAAUAUUUCGAUUUUUUGGUCAAAAAACUGUUGAAGUUUUCUUCACAAAUUUUAAAGGUCUUUAAAGUUUUACAAUGAGUUAUGACUCAUAGACUUACGAAGUCAUCACAUACAACACUAGUUAGAGCAUCAUUAAUGGUAGUUUCUUAGGUUAGUCUUAACUUAGUUCUUAGGAUUUUUUUUAAUUGAUUUUAAUUUUUUAAAACAAAAGAUAAGAAUACUUCAAUUUGUCUUUUAUAUAAGAGACUCUUUUAACAAAUAUAUGAUUAAAAACAUUAAAUUUGUAACCAAAAUUUCCUAAGAAUUAAGCUAAGCAACUAUCAAUAAUGGUGCUCUUAGUCGGUCCAAUUUGUUUGAGAAGACUUGUUUUUAUUGAUAAUCACCACUUACAUUUUUGUAAUGUUUCACAAAUCCACGUAUGUAGUUUUAUUUAAAAUAAAUACUAUGUUUUAAUUAAUAGUGGGAUUCUAAAGUAAAUUGAAAUUAUCAACAAUCGUGAAUUCGAACAUGUAUAUAGUCUAUAUAUAAUGACCUUGCGGCUCCUUCAAACACUGAACUACACCUGGUGGACCAUUUUCACAUUCUUGAAUGACGAAAAGUCUCUUCACUAAUGCAUACCCAUGCAUUAUCGUAAUGGCAACACCUGAACCAUGAGUCAUUAGCUUUAUGGUUAGCAUUGUAGUGAAGUUUUGUACAUGUUGGUGUAGUUACAAUAAUUUCAAUAACAAAAGCAAAACCACAUUCUUUCUCAUGGACUAAAUCUUUGCCAUAAGAGAACUUCUCGCUGCAAUCAUGUUGGCAUUUGGGCAUGUCACAAUGACUGCUUCCACAAAUGCCAAACAUGGCUGCACCAAGAAGUUCUCUUACGACAAAGAGUUCUUCCGAUGAGAAGGAAUGCGGUUUUGCUUUAUAUAUGUUACUGAAACUGCAACUACACAAGCAUGUACAAAGAUCUCUAUCAUCACUACAAAGUUAACCACAUGUACAUGUGUAAUGACGCAUGGUCAGAUGAUGUUUUUCUGACACGAUUAUCUUAUGCUAGAGGCAAAUAUUCUAGUAUCAUGUUGAUAACGUUGAUCAAAUAAGCAAACUUCCAAAUAAUUUAUUGAUUUUGAUCAUCUCGAUACUUCCACUUAAGAACCAGUGAAAACCAGUGUUCUGUCAAAAUGAUGGGUGGAUCUUUGGAAACAAAGCCACCAUCUUCUAUUGGACUUGAAAAUAAAAUCCACCAAACUUAUGCAUAAAUUUUUCGUUCGUUUAGCUAGAUUGACGGCCAAGAAAAAUUAACAAAUUUUGGUCAUCAAUCUAGCUAAAUAAAGAAAAAAUAGUGCAUAAGUAUGGUGGAGUUUUCUCUUGAUAUUUCUUAUGUCUAAGAAGACGAGGUGAGAUAUAUUCCAUAAAUCUACUUAUCGUUUUGAUGUAACUAGUAUCUUUUUAUUUUCUUAGGAGAGUGUAUUGUAAUUCUUCUUAAACACUUUACUCUUACCAAUUUAUCAUGUAUCAAUAUUAAUUAGUACGGCACAAUAGUAUAAUUGACAUAAGAAUGCGGAAACAACAUAUAGUCCACGCUGAAAUCAAUGAAGUAAGAAAAUGGAAACUUAAUUCAUUCGCAAACAUAACAUUAUUUGUUAUACAAAAAUGAAAAUAACAGAUAUUAACUAUCAAAACAAACAUAACCAAUUCAUAUAGUCAUGCAGAUCGAAAUUAUCAAUCAGACGAUAUAUUUAUCAAUCUUGCAAAGAAACAAAAACAAAGAUUUUACAAUUAAGAGAGAUGAAGAUCGGACCGUAAUGCUUUCAUUCCCCAGAAGAAGAGAUGAGAUGGGAUUCAGAUUCAGACAAUAAUACCUAUCGAUGUAACCUUUUCUUUUCCCCAAAAGAAGUACACAUCAAAUUCCCACCAUCAUGGAUCCAUCAUCCUUUUAGGAGAUGCUUGUUUUGUUUUUUUCCUCUUACUCUCUUGAACAAGAACAACAAGGCCAAGAUCUCCAUCGUGUGUUUCGUAUGUCUGAAAAUCCCUCUGAACUUUUUAUUAUAGUUUUGAUGAGACUUGUUUGGUGGAAGUUUGGUGGUUCUGAUGAUGAUGAGAGAGAGCGAAGAAAUUAUGGCUUAUAAAAAAGAAGAAGAGACAUGAUGAUUACUGAUUGGUACAAACAUUGAAAAUAGUUAUAAAAAGAGAAGUAAAUUGUCAAAACAAUCACAACUAUUUAC